CCGCGCGGGUGAGCGAAAGAUCCUUCGUUGGCAAGAGACGAGCAUGUAAACAUAUACGGUGUUCGAGAUUAUUAGAGGCACAAAAGAAAUGAGUAAAACCGUAUCCCACACCGAUAACCUGACGGGAUGACCCUCCAUUCCCCGCCUCCGCAACCAGCAAUGUUACUUGCGGAACUGCAUGCUCGCUAAAUUUGGGACGACCAAAGAACGCGCGAGGUAGCGCUCACAUAACCUUUUCCUUACAUAGUAGAAAACAUUUUGCAUUAAAUUUGAUAUUCAACAUUUCUCAUGUAAAAAUAAUACAAUUUGUAGGACGAACAAAUAAUGCAAAAAUAAUGUAAUUUUGAAACGCCAAUUUCUAAGAUAUAUAAAUAAAAUGUAUGUAUCAGGGUUAAUAAAAAUUAUGCUUUUAAAUAAAAUAUUGUUUUUCAUGUUUUAAAUAUGUAAACAUAUAAAGACAUAACAUACAUUAUGUCUUUAAAAAAUGAAAAACAUGUUUUUCACAAAAGCACAUAAAAUAUUUUAUGUGUUCGAAACACGUAUUAAACGAAUAAGAACAUAGUUUUUAUCAAUCCUGGUAUCAAUGCACUAUAAAUAUUAAUUUUAGUGCAGAACAAUGAGCUUCCACAAUUUUUUUCAAAUUGUAUCAAAAUAUUACAUUUUUAUAUUAAUUUUGUACAUAAUAUUUUAUUAUUUUUUAUAAUAACAUACUCAUCUUGUAUUAAUUUAAUAUAAAAAUGUGAGUGAAUAGUUUGGGACAUGUAAUAAAAUAAAUUAUAUAUGUUAAAUUUAAAUUUUGUGUGUGGGAGGAACGUAAAAAGGAAUGUAAAAAUUUUCUACCUUUGAAAUUAAUAAAGAAGUUUUUCAUUUUUCAGGUUUCCAGUAUAAUAAAAAAGUUACAUGAUCGCUACCUAAAAGUCGUACCGAAAAUGGAUGCGUAAUGGUAAUUUUAACCGAAUCGCGCAAUAUUUUACUGCAAUACGGAAGAAUUAGAGCGAAACAGCAUUUCGUAUAACGCGAUGUAUUGCACAAGAGAAUUAUUUCUCGCCCGUAAAAACGCGCGGUUUUUGCAGCGCGACCAUACGCGUGGAUUUAAAAUCGGUAACGAGCACCUUGUCUCUGUUACGGAUAGUUUUUAUCCAGUUUUACCUGAGUUACUACGCCAAAUGAAAUGUACUUCGACUGGUCAUGGGAGAGGAAGUUUGCCGCCGUCGUCGCGAUCGCACCUUCCGGGAUCGUCCAUAGUUCCCUGCAGGUAUUCUGCGGCAAAGAGGAGUUCGAAUUGAACUGGGUCACAACUUUUGUCACAAUAUUGGGACGAAGUAAACUUUGAUACUGUAAUUAAAGUUUACACUUGGCAACAAAUAAAAGAUUGCGAGUGAUUUCAAUCGGGUUCAGUUGUCAGACACAGUUAUUUUACUAAAAGCUCGUGGAUUUUGGAUAAAGAAAAGAAGAUGUGUCUUAAUAUACGGAUUCAUAGAAAUUAACGUGUUUCCUUUACUGUUAAAUUAUACCAGGGUUAGAUAGUAA